rnacentral:rRNA from 1 species
UAGUCAUAUGCUUGUCUCAAAAACUCCCCCAUGCAUGUCUAAGUAUAAAUGAUAUACAGUGAAACUGCGAAUGGCUCAUUAAAACAGUUAUAGUUUAUUUGGUAAUCAAAUUUACAUGGAUAACCGUGGUAAUUCUAGAGCUAAUACAUGCUGUAAAGCCCGACUUCGCGAAAGGGCCGUAUUUAUUAAAUAACAAACCAAUAUUCCUCGUGUCUAUUGGGGUGAAUCAUAGUAACUAAUCGGAUCGCAUGGGCUAGUCCCGCGACAAACCAUUCAAGUUUCUGCCCCAUCACCUUUCGAUGGUAGUGUAUUGAACUACCAUGGCUUUUACGGGUAACGGAGGAUUAGGGUUCGAUUCCGGAGAGGGAGCCUGAGAAACGGCUACCACAUCUAAGGAAGGCAGCAGGCGCGUAAAUUACCCAAUCCUAAUUCAGGGAGGUAGUGACAAGAAAUAACGGGUCGGGGCUCUGCCCCGGGACUGCAGUGAGAUGAAUUUACACCCCUUUUCAAGUAACAAUU